AUUGAACGCUGGCGGCAGGCCUAACACAUGCAAGUCGAGCGGAUGAAGGGAGCUUGCUCCUGGAUUCAGCGGCGGACGGGUGAGUAAUGCCUAGGAAUCUGCCUGGUAGUGGGGGAUAACGUCCGGAAACGGGCGCUAAUACCGCAUACGUCCUGAGGGAGAAAGUGGGGGAUCUUCGGACCUCACGCUAUCAGAUGAGACUAGGUCGGAUUAGCUAGUUGGUGGGGUAAAGGCCUACCAAGGCGACGAUCCGUAACUGGUCUGAGAGGAUGAUCAGUCACACUGGAACUGAGACACGGUCCAGACUCCUACGGGAGGCAGCAGUGGGGAAUAUUGGACAAUGGGCGAAAGCCUGAUCCAGCCAUGCCGCGUGUGUGAAGAAGGUCUUCGGAUUGUAAAGCACUUUAAGUUGGGAGGAAGGGCAGUAAGUUAAUACCUUGCUGUUUUGACGUUACCAACAGAAUAAGCACCGGCUAACUUCGUG
rnacentral:rRNA from 1 species